rnacentral:rRNA from 1 species
GACGAACGCUGGCGGCGUGCCUAAUACAUGCAAGUCGAACGAAGCUGUUUUAACUGGUGCUUGCACCGACUUAAACAACUGAGUGGCGAACGGGUGAGUAACACGUGGGUAACCUGCCCCAAAGCGGGGGAUAACAUUUGGAAACAGAUGCUAAUACCGCAUAACCACAGAAACCACAUGGUUUCUGUGUCAAAGAUGGUUUCGGCUAUCACUUUGGGAUGGACCCGCGGCGUAUUAGCUAGUUGGUAAGGUAAUGGCUUACCAAGGCAAUGAGACGUAGCCGAACUCAGAGGUUGAUCGGCCACAUUGGGACUGAGACACGGCCCAAACUCCUACGGGAGGCAGCAGUAGGGAAUCUUCCACAAUGGACGAAAGUCUGAUGGAGCAACGCCGCGUGAGUGAAGAAGGUUUUCGGAUCGUAAAACUCUGUUGUCAGAGAAGAACGUGUGCGAGAGUAACUGCUCGUGCAGUGACGGUAUCUGGCCAGAGAGCCACGGCUAACUACGUGCCAGCAGCCGCGGUAA